GCGUCAGUAACAACGUAAUUAAUUACAACUUUCAACAACGGAUCUCUUGGUUCUGGCAUCGAUGAAGAACGCAGCGAAAUGCGAUACGUAGUGUGAAUUGCAGAAUUCAGUGAAUCAUCGAAUCUUUGAACGCACAUUGCGCCCUUUGGUAUUCCAAAG
rnacentral:rRNA from 1 species